rnacentral:rRNA from 1 species
GACGAACGCUGGCGGCGUGCCUAAUACAUGCAAGUAGAACGCUGAAGAGAGGAGCUUGCUCUUCUUGGAUGAGUUGCGAACGGGUGAGUAACGCGUAGGUAACCUGCCUUGUAGCGGGGGAUAACUAUUGGAAACGAUAGCUAAUACCGCAUAACAAUGGAUGACACAUGUCAUUUAUUUGAAAGGGGCAAUUGCUCCACUACAAGAUGGACCUGCGUUGUAUUAGCUAGUAGGUGAGGUAAUGGCCCACCUAGGCGACGAUACAUAGCCGACCUGAGAGGGUGAUCGGCCACACUGGGACUGAGACACGGCCCAGACUCCUACGGGAGGCAGCAGUAGGGAAUCUUCGGCAAUGGGGGCAACCCUGACCGAGCAACGCCGCGUGAGUGAAGAAGGUGUUCGGAUCGUAAAGCUCUGUUGUAAGUCAAGAACGGGUGUGAGAGUGGAAAGUUCACACUGUGACGGUAGCUUACCAGAAAGGGACGGCUAACUACGU